CGAGAGGGCCGUACCACCCUGAAGGCACCUGAUCUCAUCUGAUUUCAGAAGCUAAGCAGCGUUGGGCCUGGUUAGUAUUUGGAUGCGAGAUCACCUGGGAAUACCGGUCCUGUAGG
rfam:Loxodonta africana unplaced genomic scaffold scaffold_37, whole genome shotgun sequence.